rnacentral:tRNA from 1 species
GGGCGACUAGCUCAGCUGGUUAGAGCGUUACAAUGACACUGUAAAGGUCACAGGUUCGAGCCCUGUGUCGCCCA